GGGGACUGGGAUGAAAAGAGCUGAGGCCACCUGGCUUGUGACAUCACCUGAGACCAGCACCAUGGUGGCCUAGGGCAGAACAUGAUGACGUGGCUGCUUGGUGACCUUGAAGGUAUUUUGAGAGGUGAAGGGGACCCUGAUAGUGAUUGUUGAUUUAGUUUUUAGGAAGAUUUUGGAAAAUAAAGACAGCAGGGAUGGUGAGCAAUCCCAGUGCUGGCAAGCCAGACAGGCAGUAAAUGUUUCCUAGAAUACAAACAGAGCAGGAGCCAGUACACGAAGGCUGCAGAAUCACUGUCAAAAUGUAAUCAGAUGAAAAAAAGAAAGCAAAAGCAGAGACCAAGACAUGGAUGUGACACCCUGGAGAGGGGGAGGGAGGAAUGUAAAGAGAAGAAGAAGCAGCUGAACUCUGUGCUGCUGAGUUCUACACAGCUACAGCUGUCAGUAACCCUUGCAACACUCCCAGCUUGAGCAGGUUAAGUCAGCUGUGCUUUGCUCCUAAGGGGGAUGCUGGCUCUGCCAAGCACAGAAUCCACCCCUGGAUCCUCCUCCAGAGCCCACCUUGACAGGCUCGUCAAGCCCAGGUCGUGGAAUCACAGCGCCCUUGCCAAGUGUGCAGUUGUCUGAUCAUGUGAAGAUCACCUACCUGGCUCUGCCUUGGCCUGCGAGGGAUCUCAAAUAAAGCAAGCAAGGGUGACACGUUACUGAGCAGCACAAGUGUCAUCGUUCCUCCAACUGAUAGUAGCUAUGGAAACUGUGACAUCACCACCGACAUAGCGAUACAUAAAAAUUCAAGCGGCUGGGGACCGGUUGCUAGGAGAGCUCCGCUUGGGAAAGUCACCGGGCAGGCAGCCAAGGGACGGGAGUCUGCUGAACAUGUUGUACUUCACCCUGGUGAUUUUACUCUCCUCCCACUAUUUUCCC